rnacentral:lncRNA from 1 species
CUUAGGCGCUACAGAAAGAUCGACUAUGGAGCGUCAGGUGCUGCUGAGUGAGCCCCAGGAGGCGGCAGCGCUGUACCGGGGCCUUAGCCGCCAGCCUUCGCUGAGCGCCGCCUGCCUGGGUCCGGAGGUCACCACGCAGUAUGGGGGCCUCUAUCGGACCGUGCACACUGGUGUGUAGACCGAGGGGACUGGGUGGCGACGGGCCGUGCAUCCAGGUGGGGACUGUGGAAGGCACGCUGCUUGACACGGGCUUGGGGAGGAAACCAACUGUAGUUCCUGCGCACAGGUGUUUUGGGGGUUGUGGUAGCCCGUAAAUGAAUUGAAAGUGUGGGAGUAAAAUUCAGACCUGCAUGGAAGGUGUGAACCUCGCAGACCUCUCCAACCCUUACAUUCUAUAGCCCAACAACAGUUACGUUGCCCUUAAAAUUCUAUGGUUGGUAGUGGGUUCUCUCCGACUGUCAGCUCAGGCUCUGGAAACCU